AUGAGCAUUUGGAACCGCUUGGUAAUAUUAGGCUGUGACCGCUUGGAGAAACUGUCACUGACAACUGUGGAGUCCCCAGAUAAGAUCAGACCUCGUUUUGGCACUGUCUGUGAAGUAUGCUACUUGUUUCCGGCACCUGGAUCUUCAACUGGAUCCAACUCUUUCAGAAAUUUCCUCCAGGUAACAGUCGAAUCGUUAAAUUUGUGAUUCUACACAACAUCACCUGCCAGCCAAGGAAUUGAAUUUACCUUAUUUCUUGAAACAACUGAAAAGAUGGAUCAAAUAUGUGAAAAAAAAAUCAGUUUUCAAGACUUUAGUCCUCAGUGAUCCCUGAGAGAUGGGCAACAAAUGAGGUGACUGAGCUCUGUAAUUAUCCCGACUUACUCCCUGGAGAGAAUGUCCAAACCAUGAGAGGGGAGAGGGACCCUAGGCAGAACCUGGAACUUACCUUGAGUUGAGGAGGCCAAGGCAACUAGAAUUUGCAGAUAGGUUGCUGUAAAGGAGAGCACUGUACAGAGAGAGGACUCUGGAGACCCGCCAAGGACCCUCCUUGAGCCUUC
rnacentral:lncRNA from 13 species